rnacentral:lncRNA from 1 species
GAGCAAAUUGCAAUAAGAAAUAAGUGCUUGACAAGAGAAGCUUGUCUGCUCGAGACAAGUAGGUUUAAACAUAAUAAAAGCAGGCAACAAACCAAGGUAUGGCCACCAGAGAGUGCAACAAUAUCCUUGUCAGAUAGACCCAUUUGCUUCACAAACACAUCUCUCAAGUGGUCAGAACCCUUGGUGGCAUCAGGUAAACGACCUUCAACUGGUGGCUCUGUCUUGUCCUCUCUACCAGGGUGAAAGGGAACAUCAGGUCCUCCAGUAACUUCAACAGCUACAACCCCAGCUAAUUGAUAGAAAUCACCAUAUGAGAGGAUAGGAAACUGCUCCUUGAUGGGCUCCAAGAGUCUGAUAGCAAUGUCAAUACCAUUGUUUGCUCCAUGUCCUUGCUCAGCCUUGAACCAAGGAAGGCAAAUCACAAUAAAUCUUAAGCUCCUUUUUCGUGCUGUUUCGCAGUCAAAUUGUGCUGUAUAAAGCUGCAAAGACAAUUCUCAAAGGAAGAACUUACCCUUGGUGGCAUCAGGCAAGCGACCUUCAACUGGUGGCUCUGUCUUGUCCUGUUAAUGGAAUGUUAAAGAUAGAAAUCUAGUUAGGUCCAGAUCUCGCCAAAAUAAACAAUUUUAACAUUGGCACAAUAAAGUUGCAAACAGACCACCACAAAGAUGUUGAAUCAUAAAAACAUGUAGUAUAAAAAGAGGCAUCAAAAUAUACAAACAAUAUGAAAUUUAGCCAACAGAACCAGCAGAAAAUUAGCAUUGGUGUGCACAAAAGCCGACUCAGAAACCACCAAUUAUCAACAAACAUAAAUUAGCAUCUAGUUGGUAUAUAUAUGACUUGGAAUUCAUUAGCUAAGAACGACGAACAUGGCCACAUUUGAAGAUAUAAGUAACACCAAGUAUUUCUUAAUUGAGCAGGAAAAGGAAGAUAAGAGUGUAUGAAUCAUCAAACUAGAAUUCAAUGCAAGAAUUCUUUACACAUCCUUCUAAAAGCGGGUGGUUUUAAGUCCAGAGCCCUACUCUGGUUACAGAGUGCAGGUAAGGACAAGAAAUAUUGGACUAGACUAUUCCUUAUGUAGAUGUAGCGGAUAAGCUUUCCGGCCUAAGCACCACACUACACGUAUAGACGCGAACCCUUCAGCGAACGGCUAGACACUUCUACAGUGGGAUCUCUUGAACUUAUGAAACUCGUGAAAGUGGGUGAACCCCUUGCCCCUUCCCUGGCAGUUAGUUCUUUAGCUUAGCUGGGAAGAAAGAGUUUGAUAGAAUUAAUCUGCUUCAUGACAUACCCUUGUCACUAGUGAAGCAUAUGCAUAUCAUAAUGCCUUGGUUAACCAUUAUCAAUAAGGCAAUAUUUCACUAAGAAUAUUGGCAAGGAUUUUUCGCCAAAAGUGUAAAAUCUGGAUAAAGGCUCUCACUAUCCAAUGUCAUUACUUCCUUGCUAAUAAGGCCUCAAGUUGAAUAAAGUACAAUUCAUUACACAUGUCAAAUAAAAUUGCUCAAGGCUGCAGAGACAGUCUCACUAACCUCUCUACCAGGGUGAAAGGGAACAUCAGGUCCUCCAGUAACUUCAACAGCAACAACUCCAGCUAACUACACAAAGAAAUGAACAACAAGUAAUUUCGGCACUUAGAUUUAGCAAACACAAUACAUAAAAUACCAACUCUAACAAUCAACAAGAAUACAUACUUGAUAGAAAUC